AUUGAACGCUGGCGGCAGGCCUAACACAUGCAAGUCGAGCGGAUGAAGGGAGCUUGCUCCUGGAUUCAGCGGCGGACGGGUGAGUAAUGCCUAGGAAUCUGCCUGGUAGUGGGGGAUAACGUCCGGAAACGGGCGCUAAUACCGCAUACGUCCUGAGGGAGAAAGUGGGGGAUCUUCGGACCUCACGCUAUCAGAUGAGCCUAGGUCGGAUUAGCUAGUUGGUGGGGUAAAGGCCUACCAAGGCGACGAUCCGUAACUGGUCUGAGAGGAUGAUCAGUCACACGGGAACUGAGACCCGGUCCAGACCCCUACGGGAGGCAGAGGGGGGGAAUAUGGGAAAAUGGGCGAAAGCCUGAUCCAGCCAUGCCGGGUGGGUGAAGAAGGUUUUCGGUUUGUAAAGCCCUUUAAGUUGGGAGGAAGGGAAGUAAGUUAAAACCUGGCUUUUUUGACGUUACCAAAAAAAAAAGCACCGGCUAACUUCGU
rnacentral:rRNA from 1 species